AGCCUGAUCCAGCCAUGCCGCGUGUGUGAAGAAGGUCUUCGGAUUGUAAAGCACUUUAAGUUGGGAGGAAGGGCAGUAAGUUAAUACCUUGCUGUUUUGACGUUACCGACAGAAUAAGCACCGGCUAACUCUGUGCCAGCAGCCGCGGUAAUUACAAA
rnacentral:rRNA from 1 species